UGAGUAACCUGCCCUUCACUCUGGGAUAACUCCGGGAAACCGGGGCUAAUACUGGAUAUGACUCGAACAGGCAUCUGUUUCGGUGGAAAGAUUUAUUGGUGGAGGAUGGACUCGCGGCCCAUCAGCUUGUUGGUGAGGUAAUGGCUCACCAAGGCGACGACGGGUAGCCGGCCUGAGAGGGCGACCGGCCACACUGGGACUGAGAUACGGCCCAGACUCCUACGGGAGCA
rnacentral:rRNA from 1 species